GCCCUACGCAGCUUGUGUAUCAAGCGGUGGUCUUGUAAACCACAAAAGACCCGACUGUCCUAGGGCU
rnacentral:tRNA from 1 species